ensembl:snRNA U6 U6 spliceosomal RNA
GUGCCCACUUUGGCAGCACAUAUACUAAUAUUGGAAUGAUACAGAGAAGAUUAGCAUGGCCCCUGCACAA